GUCAGCUGACAAAGGGUCAGCUGCAUUUGUUUGGCGUCUGUUUUGGCUCCUGAUGUGGCUGCUGGAGGAAUACUUGGCAAACUAUACGUUUGACUUCGCGGUCAGCUUUUUUUCUAUCUUCAAAUGAAAACUGAACAGAACCAAACUGAACUGAUCUGAUGGCGAACUGGUUGGCAUUCAACACAACCAAGGAGUACCUGGAGCAAACCCACACAUGCAUGGAGAGAACAUGCAAACUCCAAGCAGAAAGGCCCCAGGCCAGGAUUUGAACUCAGGACCUUCUUCCUACAAGACAACAGUGAAAUGGACUGCAUGCAGUAAAGGUCAUUUGUGUUCUCUAAGCUAAUGUACUACAUGUGGAUGCGUGUGUGCGUGUGGGCAGCUGAGCGUCCAUCAGGAUGUCCCUGCCGGAAAGGAUCCUCUGAGCAAACCUUUCACCUCCCCGGUCACUGGAGAGUGAGAAGAAAAAGAAGGAUGAAGUGGAGUCAGAGGAGGAAGGAUGGAUUUAUUGACUUGAGCCUCGGGCUCAGGUCGAUGCAUCACGGUCAGGAUCAUGGUAGAUGAUGAGGCCUCUGGGUGUCAGGGACAACUUCAUACAGAACAGAGGUGCGUUUAACCAAUGCAGCUCUGUCUAAUCUAUACAAUAGGGAACUUUUUAGUUAUGACUUUUUUUUCUUGCUUUUGUCAGCUGUUUGAUACGAUGUUAAUGCCUCUGCUAACCUGUGUGUGCAGCCCAACAAAGAGGAUUAUUUCUUGUGUUACAUAGAUUUUUCAGGUUUUAUCUAAAUUCUCUUCACUUUUAUUGGAAUGCUAUUUGGUCUGCUUUUACUUUCACCAUAUUAUUACUCCAUCUAUUGGCUCAUGAGUCGUAUAGAUCAUCUUGAGCCACAGUAAAGAACAAAAAGUUGAGGAUUUUAUGACAAAACCUGGUUAGACAAAUUUAAAGGAAUGAGUCAGAAAUAGUAAUAAAAAAAUGUAUUCCAUUAAUCUGCUCAGAGAUUAAUGGAAUUGCAAAGUACAGAUGUUAAAGCCAGGUGUGAAUAAGGUCACUGACAAUUUUUUCAACAUGCUUUAAAAGAAAAAAAAAAAGAAAAUACAUUUGGGAGACUGAUAUUUCAAUUCUACAACAAAAAGAGAAUCUUUACAAUAUAAAACACAAAUGUGUGUCUCUGGUGGAGAUCACAGAGGCUAGCUGGGAUGAAAGAGGCUCAUUUGAAAAGGUCAGGGACCGGUGCUACAUGGAGGAGGGGUUCAGUAUGCUAAAUAAUACAGUGAAAGAUGUUACAGAGGAUGCACAAUGCAUCCUGCUAUGAUGUUAACAUGCCUCUGUGUAGUUUUAGUCUCAAGCAGGACAGGAAUAGUCCAUCUGUGUUAGCUGAAGUGCCAUCCUGCUCAAACCUGGUGGAAUCCCCCAAGAAUCUGGCAAAAUAAAAUACAUCACGAGGCCAAGAAAAUGAACAAAUAAAUAACAAUAAAAAGGGAAACCAUUUUGUCUUUUGAAGUUAUUCAAGACAAAUUUGGCUUUUCUCAAAUUUGUUCUGAUAAUACAAAAGUUUUCUCUUUGGCACUAUUACUUUCUCAGUUCAAAUGCAAGCUUGACAUUGACAAAAUUGUCAAGGGAAUUUGUGCCACAUCCUUCAUAUACUGGCCACCAGAGAUGGACACCGGUCAUCACUGUACUCUGAACAGGUUUAAGUGGGUAGAUCAGGUUUUAUUGUCUAUUUAGAUUAAUAAACAUUUCUGUAAAAAAGCAAGCUAAACAAAAUAGGCUAAUUUUCAGCCAUAGUCUCUGGAGCAGGUGACAUGAGCACUGCAAUAAUUAAUAUACUGUAUUUACAAUACCAAUACAUUAAGAUACAAUGAACAUGUAUUAAAUACUGUGCAGUACAAAUUCAGAGCAAAUCGCACAUGACCGUCCCUCAACCUUAAGUUUAAAUUUAUUUUAAAAGCAAAGGUGUUAUGGUACAAGUAUCUCUCACCGAAAAGCUGCCUGACAAAAAAAACAGUUCUUCAAAUUGAAACUACACAGUCUGUUCUACUGACAGACCUGGUGUGCCUGUCAGUAGAUGUUUUCUGUUACAUAAAAGCAGAAGAGAGGAGCUUAGCCAUGCAGGAUCUUAUAAGUAAGACAAACAUCUUUGAAUUUAACAAAAUUGUUCCAGCUCAAUAGAUUUUGAUUCACUACAGCAUUAAUGACAGGCAUUUGUUUUUCUGUCUAGUACUUUCACAGCCUGAUGGUAAACUAUGUGUACCGAUCUUAAACUUGUACAGGAGGCUUGUGACAGAAUGACAGAUGUGACAUGAUAAUCACAAUAACAUGCAGCCUUCCUGCUUUUGCUGACAGUGAGAUUCUGAUGUGACGGAAAUUUGAUAAGUGAAACUUUAUCGUGUUCACUGCUGAUUUAAUUUGUUUAUCAAUUCUUAAUCCAAAAUAUUUGUAUUUUGACACAUCUGUCAACUUUCCUCUGGUAAGUGGACUCACAGCUGACGCUUUGCUUUAGCCAUUUAGGCAGUUGCCCAAAACACAGACUGCUGGAAGGGGCGCUGCUGCAAGAAAUAAAAAUAUAUAAAAAUGAUCAUAAAAAUUAAAUAAAAAUAUUAAAUCAGGAAAUAUAAAAAACAAGCCAACAGCACCCUUUUUGGUUCCACUUGCCAAUGAAUUUAAUAUUAAAUUCAGUUUACACAGGGACAUUUUCUACAGGACACAUUAAAGCUGGAAAAGUUUAACCAUAUAAUUUAACCUAGCUGUUAUCCAUUAACACUCCCUUUGGUGGUGGUGGCAGUAUAGGGCAUGUAAGGCAAUAAAUUGACCAGAUACUCUGGGUCUAUUUUGUCAUCUUUGUUGCCCCACGUGAUUCUGAGAGAACAUUAUCUUUGCUUUUCUCAGUUUCUUACUCAUUCUAAAUGUCAACAACAAAGCUGCAGUGCAACACCUUUGUAAUGACUGCCGUUUAGAAAAGGUUCUAAUCAUAUAUCCUUUUUGUUUGAAUGUCUGACUAAUAAUAAUAAUAAUAAUAAUAAUAAGUAAUACCAAACCACUGUGGUGGAUCUGCCAUCAUUAAAACAGUUUCCAUGUGAUCAGGGAGAAAUGAAAAGGCCACAGAACCAAAUAAUUUCAGAUUUUAUUAUGCUUCUGAGGAAGUGUUUUGUUUCAAUAGAUGUGCAAUUUUACAUUUUAUUACAAUGGCAUAAUAGUAUACCAAACUCUAGUAUAACAAAACCUGUCAUGUUAAAGUAUUAUUAUUAGUAUUAUUAUUAUUAUUAUUAUCAAACCAUGUAAAAGUAUUAUUAACCUUUUUGCACCAUCACAUUACAAUUGCAAUUGUUUUACUGCUUUACAGUAAAACAGAAGCUGAAACCAAACAUGCACGUACAAAAGCUGGAAAAGAAAAUAGUUGUGGCACCCUUUAACCUUCAUGUUUUGCUGUUUUUCUGUCUGCUAUUUAUAAUCUGUACAGAAGCUCAAUAAUUAGUUCAAUAAAAAAUAGUCUGGAGUAGAAGGAAAGUGUGGAUAUAUUACUAUAACAGAGUGGCAUGAGGAAAGGGAUACUUGGAAGGAAGUCUUCAGAAGAUGGCAGUAUGCAGUGGGAGUGCUUUUCAGCAGGGACAGGGAAGGUGGUCAGGUUUGAUGGAAAGAUGGUUGAAGCUAAAUUCAGUUUAGAAAAUCCUAGAGUUUGUAAAAGAUUUAAAAUUGGGAAGGAGGUUUACUUUCUAGCAGGGCAACACUAAACAUAUGGUCAGAGUUACGAUGGAACGGUUUAGAUCAAAGCAUAAAAUAUUAAAGGGUCUGGUCAAAAUCCAAACUUAAAUCCCGUGAAAAAUCUUUUGUAAGACCAAAAAAAUAUGUCCACAGAUGCUCCCUAAGCAAUAUGACUGAAUCUGAGUUUUUUUUAACUUUUAUUUUGAAAAAUAGAAUUGGCAAGAAUUUUAGAUUCUAGAUCCUCAAACCUGGAAAACCAAAAGACUUGCUGCUGACAAGCCAGCAAGAGUUGAUGAUAAUUAACAGUUUUGAAAAGCAGGUAAUAUUUUCUCUCUACUUUAUUACACAUGAUCUCAUGUUGCUUUAUCACUGAAAAUCAAAGUAAAACAUAUAGUCGUAUGGAAUUAUAGCAAGACAAAAUGUGAGAACGUUCAAGGGAAAUUAAUACCUCUUCAAGCACCUUAUACUACACUAUUUAAUGAAAAUACUGAGAGGCACAUACACUUUGCAAUAAAUAGUAGCAAUUAAGGAAUCUAUCAAUUUUAGUCACAAACAUUUGUAAACGUUAAAAGGUUUCAGAGAUAGUGCCAAAAAUAUUAGAUAGCAGGGGAAAAAUGACAGAAGGUAAAAGGUCAAUGAAGUUGGAUGAAACUAAUAAGGACAUGAAAAAGCAUCCACUUUCAAUAUCACUCCCCUUUGGCAUUAAUUAUCUACUUUACCAGCACUCUGUCUGCAUCUGCAAGUGUCUGAUUUUCAGAGACAUGUGUCUGUGAGAAGCAACUAAAGUGUAGUCUAACAUACAGAUUUAAGGAUUACUUUCAGCCUUCACAUAUGACUUCACUACCUCUCUGUGUGUCUGAAACACUGACUGCUUACGAAGGGAAAUUACCUUUUAGGCAAUUAAAAACUCUUCACCUUUAGAAAGUGGCAGGAUUAGAUUUCCAUUCUCAGUACACGAGGAAUGAUUUUGUGCUUAGUUUAAAGAGUUUCAUGAAAAGUUGAGAGACAUGCUUGGAAAUAAAACAAGCCGUUUAGCUAUGAGUGUUUAAUGUGUUGACAGAAAACAUAAAGAGAACACUGCUGAAGGAUAAAGAAGAAAAGGUUAGAGGGGAGGGGCUGGGCAGGACCACUGCAAGCUGUCAAAAUGUGUCAAAGUCACUGUUGCUGCAUGUGUAUGUGUGUGUCCAGCAUAUUCUUACAUCAGAGUUUUACUCCUUCCAAUCCCAGCGAGUUUUUGUGCAUGUCUCAGUGUGCUUAUGGCUUUGGAUGAGGGCAAGCGGGCAGACAGGAGGGUAAUUUGGUUUGGCAUUAAUGCAAGGCAGAGCAUCUACAGUAUGCUCCGAGUGGGAAUAAUUCUGUACAACACAUCCUCACAUGAAAACACACUUUAUCCAAUGCAUUCACUAUCGAUGUAGAUUGUUUCCCGUUCUUCAGCACGUUCCUGGUGGUGUGUAUGCAUGUGAGUGUGUGUGCUGUCCAUAGUCAUGUUGAAAAAGUUAGGGCACCUCGUUAAAUAUCCAGUUCUCUCAAAUUAAAUUUCUACAUACCAAAUGUCCAAAUUUUUUUAUUUACCUCUGGAAAAGAAAGUUACAGGUGAACACCAAAAUUAAACCUUCUAUUGUUGAUACUCUAUCAAGGGAAAAUAGCUAGGACUUGAGUGAGAUGCUUCUUGUAGCCACCAGCCUGUAUCCUUUUCAUUUGUGAGAUGUUUAAGGGGUUUGUUCCAUGUUCAUCAUGUUUCAUGUAAAUUCACAUCAUCUGAAUGAGAUCAACAUCUGGGCUUUCAUUCAGCCCAGGACUUUCAGGACAUUCAGUACUUGGUAUAGUUACUGGUAAGUUUUGGAUCACUGUCAUGUUGCAGGAUCCAGGUUUUGAAUCAGGUUUCAUUUGACCUACACAUGAUCUAAAGUUUCCUCAAGCACACUAUGAUGCACUGUAGAGUUUAUGGUGGAUAGCGUGGUUUUAAGCUAGCCAGGUCCUGGAGCAGGAAUGUACCCCCAAAUCUUCAAGCUUCACACUUUACAAACAUUUUGUAUUUGGCUUAUGCAAAUCUUGUCUCCAUUCUGGUAUCUAGAUAAUUUCAUUUUAGAGUCUUACGUCCAAAGAAUAUUAUUUUAGAAGUCCCAGUCUUCAUCUACAUUCUCCAUGUCAAGCUUUAGUCUGGCCUUCAUGUUUUCCUUCAGGUGUGUUUCAAUUGUUUGACCUGGAAGAAUUUUCUUUCUGCAACCAUUCUCUCAAAAUUUUACCAGGCCAUUGUUUUGAGACCAACUGAAUGAACUUCUUUCUUUACAUCGCAGGUGAAAGGUGAUCGUUUUUUAUCAAUAAAACUAUAACCAAUGAUUCUGAUGCAGAAAUGCCACUUGGUCAGAUUUUGGGGGUAUUCUGUGCCUCCAAUCAUCAAGAGUUCAAAACUAUUAAAUAUUACUUUUCAUUUAGUGUCCACUCCAUCGUUCACAAACAGUUGUAAACAAAUAACUACUUAAAAUAACAUGAAAAUAAUCUGUGAGCAAUUUAAACUGGCACUAAAUUUAAAUAACUAUAAAUCAUUCAAUACAUAGAUUACAGAGUAGAUGUUACUAAUCCUAGGAAGUCAAAAUAUACAUGUAAAAUGUAUCUUAUAAUAUGUAUUUUGUGAUAUUUUGGGGGGUGGUCCAGGUGAUAAAGAACAAUGAAGAUAUCCGACUUUACUGUUUGUUGCUGAUUUAAAAAAAAAAAAAUCUUUUUAAGCAAUCUAUUUGUUUACUUAGCAGUCACGUGUGCUGCUGAUGAAAGAGUUUGUAUUUGUGUGCAACUGCCUCGCAUUUUGUCGCAGCGGCUCUUAAUCUGCCUCCGCUCCCGCCCCUCUUCCCUUCCGCUCACACCAUCAGCGUGGCGAUUACAGCCCCGCCACCAUCACCCUGUUUACACCUCAUGUCGCUGCCAAUUACCAUGUUUGACACUGCCGCUGCAACCCGGAGGUUGGGGAGUUGGUUGGUGAUUGUGGUGAGGGGGUGGCUCACUGGCUGAUUCACACCCUUGGCCACACUGUCACAGGUUUACCUGUGAACAGACACAAAAAGGUGGCUGUGGCUGCUAUUUAGAUCACAUGCAACAAAAACAGUAGGUGCUUUCAUGGCCAACAGUGUUUAGAGGAGUGAAAAUAGAACUUCAGGCCAUUAUUUUUAUUAUUUUAUUGCAAUGUAUCCAUUUUUAUGUUGUGCCCAUCAUCUGCUCAGUUAGUCUCUUAGACUUGUAAAAAUACAGUGCCACCUCAAAGUAUUCACAACACUCAUCUUUUUUCAUAUUUUGUCGUGUCAAACUAAUAAUUCGCAUCACCCCAAACAAACAAUCCCCACAGUAAUGUGUGUUAGUUUAUUACGUUGUAGGGAGGAUGAACAGAGCUAAAGACAAGACUGGAAGAAAAUCUGUAGCAAAAGACUAAAAAGUUCACAGGUAACGUAAUCUAAUGUAAUGUACUGUAAUGACGCUUGGUCAAAAUAGAGCUCUAUAUGAACCCAAAAGUCUUAUAGAGAUUUACACAUGCAGAAUUCUUCUGUCCUUUUACAUUUUCAAUCAAAAGCAAUGCAGCUAAUGCAACACUGAACUUUGUAGUAAAGCUUUUUGUAGUUUUGCAUAUUUAACACUUAGCAAGUACCUUUUUGGCAGAAUGAAGGUUGUCAAAAUGAAGUGAUAAUAAAGAAUGAUAAUUGCAUUCCAAAUAUUAAACUCAACCAAAAGCUGAUCAGAGUCCAGAUCUUUAACCACCUUAAGUUGCUCAAAUUAUUUGUAAAUAAAGUGUCCUGGAAUGAAGCUGCAAGACUACUCUCUUUAAUACAUGUUGGCGUGUGCGAAUGUGUGUGUACUUUAGUUGCUUUGGUGCAUACGGAGAGGGGGUGUCGAAGUGCCGCUCAGCAAGGUGAGGGUGGUCCAUUGUGAGAAACGCUGGAACAAAGGGCUUGGCCUGGAGCACGGCUAUGAUAAAUGGACACAGAUACACACAAACUCACUACAUCCGUCUCCAGGCUGUGCCACCGUUGGGUCAU